rfam:Gossypium arboreum cultivar AKA8401 contig_28441_3, whole genome shotgun sequence.
AAUCCCAUGACAAGGACACUUACGAAGUAAUUCCUUAAAUCUUUCCCAUGCCUCGUAUAAGGACUUCUCAUCCAAUUGUUGAAAAAUGGUGAUCUCCUUUCGUAACU